rnacentral:rRNA from 1 species
UACGGGGGGGGCAAGCGUUGUUCGGAAUUACUGGGCGUAAAGGGCUCGUAGGUGGCCAACUAAGCCAGACGUGAAAUCCCUCAGCUUAACUGGGGAACUGCGUCUGAUACUGGAUGGCUUGAGUUUGGGAGAGGGAUGCGGAAUUCCAGGUGUAGCGGUGAAAUGCGUAGAUAUCUGGAGGAACACCGGUGGCGAAGGCGGCAUCCUGGACCAACACUGACACUGAGGAGCGAAAGCCAGGGGAGCAAACGGG